AGUGAACGCUGGCGGUAGGCCUAACACAUGCAAGUCGAACGGCAGCACAGUAAGAGCUUGCUCUUACGGGUGGCGAGUGGCGGACGGGUGAGGAAUACAUCGGAAUCUACUUUUUCGUGGGGGAUAACGUGGGGAAACUUACGCUAAUACCGCAUACGACCUACGGGUGAAAGCAGGGGAUCUUCGGACCUUGCGCGAUUGAAUGAGCCGAUGUCGGAUUAGCUAGUUGGCGGGGUAAAGGCCCACCAAGGCGACGAUCCGUAGCUGGUCUGAGAGGAUGAUCAGCCACACUGGAACUGAGACACGGUCCAGACUCCUACGGGAGGCAGCAGUGGGGAAUAUUAGGCAAUGGGCGCAAGCCUGAUCCAGCCAUACCGCGUGGGUGAAGAAGGCCUUCGGGUUGUAAAGCCCUUUUGUUGGGAAAGAAAAGCAGCAGGUUAAUACCCCGCUGUUCUGACGGUACCCAAAGAAUAAGCACCGGCUAACUUCGUG
rnacentral:rRNA from 1 species